rnacentral:tRNA from 1 species
GGGGGUAUAUCUUAGCGGUAAAGCAUUCGACUGCAGAUCGAGAGGUCCCCGGUUCAAACCUGGGUGCCCCUC